AGAGCGAACGCUGGCGGCAGGCCUAAUACAUGCAAGUCGAACGGACCCUUCGGGGUUAGUGGCGGACGGGUGAGUAACACGUGGGAACGUGCCCUUUGGUUCGGAACAACUCAGGGAAACUUGAGCUAAUACCGGAUGUGCCCUUCGGGGGAAAGAUUUAUCGCCAUUGGAGCGGCCCGCGUCUGAUUAGCUAGUUGGUGGGGUAAAGGCCUACCAAGGCUACGAUCAGUAGCUGGUCUGAGAGGAUGAUCAGCCACACUGGGACUGAGACACGGCCCAGACUCCUACGGGAGGCAGCAGUAGGGAAUCUUGCGCAAUGGGCGAAAGCCUGACGCAGCCAUGCCGCGUGAAUGAUGAAGGUCUUAGGAUUGUAAAAUUCUUUCAGCGGGGACGAUAAUGACGGUACCCGCAGAAGAAGCCCCGGCUAACUUCGCGCCAGCAGCCGC
rnacentral:rRNA from 1 species